UACAGGGGGGGCAAGCGUUGUUCGGAAUUACUGGGCGUAAAGGGUUUGUAGGUGGCUUGUUAAGUCAGACGUGAAAUCCCUCAGCUUAACUGGGGAACUGCGUCUGAGACUGGUGAGCUUGAGUGCAGGAGAGGAACGCGGAAUUCCAGGUGUAGCGGUGAAAUGCGUAGAUAUCUGGAGGAACACCGGUGGCGAAGGCGGCGUUCUGGACUGCAACUGACACUGAUGAACGAAAGCCAGGGGAGCAAACGGG
rnacentral:rRNA from 1 species